rnacentral:rRNA from 1 species
AUAGCGUAUAUUAAUGUUGUUGCAGUUAAAAAGCUCGUAGUUGAAUAUCUGGACUCAACUUUCGGUCCGGGGCCUUGUGUCCUGCGUACUGUUCUUGUUGGGUCCAUCUUAGUAGUGAAUGGUUCUGGCAUUAAGUUGUUGGGGUCGGGAGCUGCUUCGUUUACUGUGAAUAAAAUAGAGUGUUUAAAGCAGGCAUUACGCCUUGAAUACUUCAGCAUGGAAUAAAAUUAUAGGACUUAGUUGCUAUUUUAUUGGUUUGCGCACCUAGUAAUGAUUAAUAGGGACAGUUGGGGGUAUUCAUAUUUGAUUGUCAGAGGUGAAAUUCUUGGAUUUAUGAAAGAUGAACUUAUGCGAAAGCAUUUACCAAGGAUGUUUUCAUUAAUCAAGAACGAAAGUUAGGGGAUCGAAGAGGAUUAGAGACCCUCGUAGUCUUAACCAUAAACUAUGCCGACUCGGGAUCAGUGGGGUUUGUUUAACGUCUCCAUUGGCACCGUAUGAGAAAUCAAAGUCUUUGGGUUCCGGGGGGAGUAUGGUCGCAAGGCUGAAACUUA